GUGGCGCAAGUGUGUGCAUGGGUUGGCGGGGUGGCUGGGAGCUGAGGCCAGAGAACUGCUCCCCAGUCGACCGGCAGGGGCCCUGCAGCGGCUGCUGCGCGGCGCAGGGGGUGGUGGUGGAAGAGUGGUGGCGGGAAUGCGCCAGCUCUGACCUCCCUGCGGUGCGCGCUGCGGGGCUGGGAGCAACUGUGCUGGGUUCUGAGGCCCAUGCGGGUGCCUUCUUGGAGCCGCGCCAGCACCAGAAAUCGCCCGGGCUCGGAGUCCCAAUUAGAGGCGAUGGUAUCGUUUUACAUUCCUAGCAUCAGUGUACGAGGCCCAGUUCCUCCACAUCCUCGCCAACACGUGCUGCCUGGACCUUGCCCGGCCUCCUCCUCACUCACCGAGCCACCGGAAUAAAGUUGGAAGUGUUUGUGCUGUACUUUAAUCAGCAUUUAAUGACCCAGUCGAAAAUUCAUUGUUUGGACCCAAGCACUGGUGGGAAAGGCAGGAGGGGAGGCCUGCCUUCCUUCCUCCCUCCCGAGCCCUACAGCAGGCCAUGGAGUGGUGAGCGAGUUCGUACAGUGCCAACCACAUUCCCAGAAACUUCCAGCAGAGGUUAAUCCUGCUCCUCUCAGGAAAAAGUGAUUCAGCUCCGGUCCACCCUGGGUGCAGCGGUCCUUCUGCCAAGAUGCCUUCAUAUCAUACAGCUAUUAUUUUCGGGAGGAUUCCAAGUGAGGGCAGUCAGGGUGGGCUUGGCCCAUUCUCUAGACUUUGGAAGGUAAUGUUCUAUAGAGGCCUGUUCUGAAGCUUUACCAGGUCAAACCGGAGAAGAACCCAACAAGUAACUCAUCCCAGCCUAACUAUUCUUCAAGGGCAAUCAACCUACAGCAUCCAAGCACAGAGAAAUCAAAUCCAUGGAGAAUCUUCAAAUUAGGCUCAGAAUCCAUUUGGGUCAAUGAAUUUACUGUUAUUAAGAUCUUAGUUGUGUUCAACCAUGAUUUGACAUACCUUAGAGUGAGAAGAUAUUCUUCCUGGCCUCAGACUAGUUGAAGGUAGAGAGAGAGACAGGCCCUUGGGUGUGGGGAGACCUCUCCUGGGAUAAUACACACAAAAAACCAAGAGCUGCUCACUGUGGUGCAGGAGACAGCAGGGCCUGAAGCCAGAGGCUCUGUGUCCUUGAAUACAAUGUUUUACUCCUCUGACCCCUGUUACUGUGAUUUGGAGAGGCAGACAAUAUAGGAUGGGCUUUGCAGGCAGGGAGGUCCAGUUAUAAUCCCAGCUCUUACUAAGUUGGGUAAGACUCACUCUGAGACUUAGUUUCUUCUGUCAUCUCUCAAUAGAAUCAUAAAGGUACUUUCCUCUUAGUGUUGUUUUAAAAUUCAGUAAAAUAAUGCAGGCUUAGCACAGGGUCUGAUGUAAAUUUUCAAUGAAUUAUCGUUGUCAAUAUUGUUCUGGAAAACAAGAGGGCAUAUUAGAAGAUCAAAAGUACUGCCAAGCAUUGAAGUGCCAAUUCUAGAUCCAGUCUCAGCCCUCUGAGAAUGGAUAUCAUUGUUUUCAAGCCAUUCAGAAACCAAUGUGAAUUGAACACCUAGUAUGAGCUCUCUGAGGGAAGAGCCAAGUCAUGCAUUUUUUAUCUUAAGGGGUCUUCAAUACCUCUAGCCCAAAACAGUAUCUCCAUCAGGAUUCUUCUCUGAUAGUGUUCAUUUCUUUUUUCUCAAUGGAUGCCUUAAAAAAAAAAUCCUACAAGGAAACCUGUACUCCUCAAAUACACCACUCAGGUGACCAUUAAAUCAUUUACAUUGUUAA
rnacentral:lncRNA from 1 species